rnacentral:rRNA from 1 species
UACGAAGGGGGCUAGCGUUGCUCGGAAUCACUGGGCGUAAAGCGCACGUAGGCGGAUCUUUAAGUCAGGGGUGAAAUCCCAAGGCUCAACCUUGGAAUUGCCUUUGAUACUGGGGAUCUCGAGUCCGGAAGAGGUGAGUGGAACUGCGAGUGUAGAGGUGAAAAUUCGUAGAUAUUCGCAAGAACACCAGUGGCGAAGGCGGCUCACUGGUCCGGUACUGACGCUGAGGUGCGAAAGCGUGGGGAGCAAACAGGG